rnacentral:rRNA from 1 species
UAGAUCUUGACAUACUACUCCAUUUGACAGAGAUGUUGAAGUGCCUUCGGGAGCUGUAAUAC